rnacentral:tRNA from 1 species
CGGAAUGUAGUUCAGCCUGGUAGAACGCUACGUUCGGGACGUAGAAGUCGGAGGUUCGAAUCCUCUCAUUCCGACCA